rnacentral:rRNA from 1 species
AUUGAACGCUGGCGGCAGGCCUAACACAUGCAAGUCGAGCGAGCGGCGGACGGGUGAGUCAUGUCUGGGAAACUGCCUGAUGGAGGGGGAUAACUACUGGAAACGGUAGCUAAUACCGCAUACCAUCAGAUGUGCCCAGAUGGGAUUAGCUAGUAGGUUGGGUAACGGCUCACCUAGGCGACGCUCCCUAGCUGGUCUGAGAGGAUUACCAGCCAACCUGGAAUGGAGACACGGUCCAGACUCCUACGGGAGGCAGCAGGGGGGAAUAUUGCACAAUGGGCGCAAGCCUGAUGCAGCCAUGCCGCGUGUGUGAAGAAGGCCUUCGGGUUGUAAAGCACUUUCAGCGGGGAGGCGUUACCCGCAGAAGAAGCACCGGCUAACUCCGUGCCAGCAGCCGCGGUAAUAC